UUAAGCGACUAAGCGUACACGGUGGAUGCCCUGGCAGUCAGAGGCGAUGAAGGACGUGCUAAUCUGCGAUAAGCGUCGGUAAGGUGAUAUGAACCGUUAUAACCGGCGAUUUCCGAAUGGGGAAACCCAGUGUGAUUCGUCACACUAUCAUUAACUGAAUCCAUAGGUUAAUGAGGCGAACCGGGGGAACUGAAACAUCUAAGUACCCCGAGGAAAAGAAAUCAACCGAGAUUCCCCCAGUAGCGGCGAGCGGACGGGGAGCAGCCCAGAGCCUGAAUCAGUGUGUGUGUUAGUGGAAGCGUCUGGAAAGGCGUGCGAUACAGGGUGACAGCCCCGUACACAAAAAUGCACAUAUUGUGAGCUUGAUGAGUAGGGCGGGACACGUGGUAUCCUGUCUGAAUAUGGGGGGACCAUCCUCCAAGGCUAAAUACUCCUGACUGACCGAUAGUGAACCAGUACCGUGAGGGAAAGGCGAAAAGAACCCCGGCGAGGGGAGUGAAAAAGAACCUGAAACCGUGUACGUACAAGCAGUGGGAGCACGCUUAGGCGUGUGACUGCGUACCUUUUGUAUAAUGGGUCAGCGACUUAUAUUCUGUAGCAAGGUUAACCGAAUAGGGGAGCCGAAGGGAAACCGAGUCUUAACUGGGCGUUAAGUUGCAGGGUAUAGACCCGAAACCCGGUGAUCUAGCCAUGGGCAGGUUGAAGGUUGGGUAACACUAACUGGAGGACCGAACCGACUAAUGUUGAAAAAUUAGCGGAUGACUUGUGGCUGGGGGUGAAAGGCCAAUCAAACCGGGAGAUAGCUGGUUCUCCCCGAAAGCUAUUUAGGUAGCGCCUCGUGAAUUCAUCUCCGGGGGUAGAGCACUGUUUCGGCAAGGGGGUCAUCCCGACUUACCAACCCGAUGCAAACUGCGAAUACCGGAGAAUGUUAUCACGGGAGACACACGGCGGGUGCUAACGUCCGUCGUGAAGAGGGAAACAACCCAGACCGCCAGCUAAGGUCCCAAAGUCAUGGUUAAGUGGGAAACGAUGUGGGAAGGCCCAGACAGCCAGGAUGUUGGCUUAGAAGCAGCCAUCAUUUAAAGAAAGCGUAAUAGCUCACUGGUCGAGUCGGCCUGCGCGGAAGAUGUAACGGGGCUAAACCAUGCACCGAAGCUGCGGCAGCGACGCUUAUGCGUUGUUGGGUAGGGGAGCGUUCUGUAAGCCUGCGAAGGUGUGCUGUGAGGCAUGCUGGAGGUAUCAGAAGUGCGAAUGCUGACAUAAGUAACGAUAAAGCGGGUGAAAAGCCCGCUCGCCGGAAGACCAAGGGUUCCUGUCCAACGUUAAUCGGGGCAGGGUGAGUCGACCCCUAAGGCGAGGCCGAAAGGCGUAGUCGAUGGGAAACAGGUUAAUAUUCCUGUACUUGGUAUUACUGCGAAGGGGGGACGGAGAAGGCUAUGUUGGCCGGGCGACGGUUGUCCCGGUUUAAGCGUGUAGGCUGGUUUUCCAGGCAAAUCCGGAAAAUCAAGGCUGAGGCGUGAUGACGAGGCACUACGGUGCUGAAGCAACAAAUGCCCUGCUUCCAGGAAAAGCCUCUAAGCAUCAGGUAACAUCAAAUCGUACCCCAAACCGACACAGGUGGUCAGGUAGAGAAUACCAAGGCGCUUGAGAGAACUCGGGUGAAGGAACUAGGCAAAAUGGUGCCGUAACUUCGGGAGAAGGCACGCUGAUAUGUAGGUGAAGUCCCUUGCGGAUGGAGCUGAAAUCAGUCGAAGAUACCAGCUGGCUGCAACUGUUUAUUAAAAACACAGCACUGUGCAAACACGAAAGUGGACGUAUACGGUGUGACGCCUGCCCGGUGCCGGAAGGUUAAUUGAUGGGGUCAGCGCAAGCGAAGCUCUUGAUCGAAGCCCCGGUAAACGGCGGCCGUAACUAUAACGGUCCUAAGGUAGCGAAAUUCCUUGUCGGGUAAGUUCCGACCUGCACGAAUGGCGUAAUGAUGGCCAGGCUGUCUCCACCCGAGACUCAGUGAAAUUGAACUCGCUGUGAAGAUGCAGUGUACCCGCGGCAAGACGGAAAGACCCCGUGAACCUUUACUAUAGCUUGACACUGAACAUUGAGCCUUGAUGUGUAGGAUAGGUGGGAGGCUUUGAAGUGUGGACGCCAGUCUGCAUGGAGCCGGCCUUGAAAUACCACCCUUUAAUGUUUGAUGUUCUAACGUGGACCCGUGAUCCGGGUUGCGGACAGUGUCUGGUGGGUAGUUUGACUGGGGCGGUCUCCUCCUAAAGAGUAACGGAGGAGCACGAAGGUUGGCUAAUCCUGGUCGGACAUCAGGAGGUUAGUGCAAUGGCAUAAGCCAGCUUGACUGCGAGCGUGACGGCGCGAGCAGGUGCGAAAGCAGGUCAUAGUGAUCCGGUGGUUCUGAAUGGAAGGGCCAUCGCUCAACGGAUAAAAGGUACUCCGGGGAUAACAGGCUGAUACCGCCCAAGAGUUCAUAUCGACGGCGGUGUUUGGCACCUCGAUGUCGGCUCAUCACAUCCUGGGGCUGAAGUAGGUCCCAAGGGUAUGGCUGUUCGCCAUUUAAAGUGGUACGCGAGCUGGGUUUAGAACGUCGUGAGACAGUUCGGUCCCUAUCUGCCGUGGGCGCUGGAGAACUGAGGGGGGCUGCUCCUAGUACGAGAGGACCGGAGUGGACGCAUCACUGGUGUUCGGGUUGUCAUGCCAAUGGCACUGCCCGGUAGCUAAAUGCGGAAGAGAUAAGUGCUGAAAGCAUCUAAGCACGAAACUUGCCCCGAGAUGAGUUCUCCCUGACCCUUUAAGGGUCCUGAAGGAACGUUGAAGACGACGACGUUGAUAGGCCGGGUGUGUAAGCGCAGCGAUGCGUUGAGCUAACCGGUACUAAUGAACCGUGAGGCUUAACCUU
rnacentral:rRNA from 5 species